rnacentral:ncRNA from 1 species
AUCCCUUCGCUAAGGAGUCUCUUAUGCGAAAACUCAUGGCCGCUAUCGUAGCCGGCCUGAUAGGGCUGACCGCGCUGUCCGUGUCGAGCACGGCUGUCGCAUGCGGUGAUUCGAGCCAACAGUCUUCGGCUGAUGGCAAAUGAUCCCGCCGCCCGAAGGCGCCAAGCGCGCACAAAAAAAGGCCUUCAUCGUUUGAUGAAGGCCUUUUACU